GCAGACAUCGGUGGCAACAGAGAGAGUUCAGGUGUAAACUGAAUUGAACGCUGGCGGGAUGCUUUACACAUGCAAGUCGAACUGGCAGCACGGACUUCGGUCUGGUGGCGAGUGGCGAACGGAGAUAAUGUAUCGGAACGUGCCUAAAUAGCAGGGGAUAACUACAUGGCAGCCAGCUAAUACCGCAUACGCCCUUCGGGGGAAGCGGGGGACCUUCGGGCCUCGCACUAUUAGACUUGGCCGAUAUCGGAUUAGCUAGUUGGUGGGAUAACGGCUCACCAAGGCGACGAUCCGUAGCUGGUUUGAAGGACGACCAGCCGCACUGGGACUGAGACACGGCCCAGACUCCUACGGGAGGCAGCAGUGGGGAGCACAGAUAAUGCGGGGAAACCUGAUCAGCCAUCCCGCGUACGAUGAAGACCUUGGUUGUUAAGCCGCCUGGCGGAAAGAGCGCUGGAUGUCACCGUGCGUGGCUGAGUACCUGCAGAAUGUACCGGCUAACUACGUGCCAGCAGCCGCGGUAAUACGUAGGGUGCAAGCGUUAAUCGGAAUUACUGGGCGUAAAAGCGUGCGCGGGCGGUUCGGAAAGAAAGAUGUGAAAUCCCCAGGCUUAACUUUGGGCUGCAUUUUUAACUACCGAGCUAGAAGUGUGUCAGAGAGGUGGAAUUCCGCGUGUAACAGUGAAAUGCGUAGAUAUGCGGAGGAACACCGAUGGCGAGGCAGCUCUGGGAUAACACUGACGCUCAUGCACGCGAAAACGUGGGGAGCAAACAGGAUUAGAUACCUGGUAGUCCACGCCCUAAACGAUAGUCAACUAGCUAUUUGGGGCCUUCGGGCCUUAGUAGCGCUGGCCUAACGCAGCGGAUUGACCGCCUGGGAAAGUCUGGUCGCAAGAUUAAAACUCAAAGGAAUUGACGGGGACCCGCACAAGCGGUGGAUGAUGGAUUAAUUCGAUGGCGGCAAAGCCUUACCUACGCGGGCAUGGAAUCGAAGAGAUUUGGGUGCUCGCAAGAAGAGCCGGAACUGGUGCUGCAUGGCUGUCGUCAGCUCGUGUCGUGAGAUGUUGGGUUAAGUCCCGCAACAGGCGCAACCCUUGUCAUUAGUUGCUACGAAAGGGCACUCUAAUGAGACUGCCGGUGACAAACCGGAGGAAGGUGGGGAUGACGUCAAGUCCUCAUGGCCCUUAUGGUGGGGCUUCGCGUCCUUCUGUGUUCGGGGACAGAGGGUCGCCAACCCGCGAGGGUAAUCCCAGAAACCCGAUCGUAGUCCGGAUCGCAGUCUGCAACUCGACUGCGUGAAGUCGGAAUCGCUAGUAAUCGCAGAUCAGCAUGUCGCGAGUGAAUACGUUCCCGGGUCUUGUACACACCGCCCGUCACACCAUGGGAAUGGGUUUUGCACCAGAAGUAGUUAGCCUAACCGUAAGGAGGGCGAUUACCGCAGUAGGAUUCAUGACUGGGGUGAAGUCGUAACAAGGUAA
rnacentral:rRNA from 1 species